GAUGAACGCUGACAGCAUGCUUAACACAUGCAAGUCCACUUGAAUUUGGGUUUUUAACUUAGGUUUGGGUGGCGGACGGGUGAGUAACGCGUAAAGAACUUGCCUCACAGCUAGGGACAACAUUUGGAAACGAAUGCUAAUACCUAAUAUUAUGAUAAUAGGGCAUCCUAUAAUUAUGAAAGCUAUAAGCGCUGUGAGAGAGCUUUGCGUCCCAUUAGCUAGUUGGAGAGGUAACGGCUCACCAAGGCGAUGAUGGGUAGCCGGCCUGAGAGGGUGAUCGGCCACAAGGGGACUGAGACACGGCCCUUACUCCUACGGGAGGCAGCAGUGGGGAAUAUUGGACAAUGGACCAAGAGUCUGAUCCAGCAAUUCUGUGUGCACGAUGAAGUUUUUCGGAAUGUAAAGUGCUUUCAGUUGGGAAGAAAGAAAUGACGGUACCAACAGAAGAAGUGACGGCUAAAUACGUG
rnacentral:rRNA from 1 species